CGUCUUGAGUUAGAGAGUCAUCUUUUAAACCUUUACCCGUUAAAUGGAUUAAUUGGUAUUCUGUCAAUAAAUAAUCUAAAUUUUGACGAAUCGCAUCAUUGAUUGCUUUAGAACCUAAAGAGCCCCCCAUAACCAUCAUAAUUGGUUUAUCAGGUGUUAGACCUGUAGAUUGAUAACC
rfam:Globicatella sp. HMSC072A10 Globicatella_spHMPREF2811-1.0_Cont3.1, whole genome shotgun sequence.